rnacentral:tRNA from 1 species
GGGCGUGUGGUCUAGUGGUAUGAUUCUCGCUUUGGGUGUAUUCCAAAUAUGCGAGAGGCCCUGGGUUCAAUUCCCAGUAUGCCCC